GCAAAAAGCUUCGCUGCCCUGCCUGUCAAGCCCGAGGUUUGAACUCGGUCCAGAAUGCUGGAUUUACUUUUCAGGAAGAAUCAGUACCUGGCUGAGCUGCCUUUUUCCCUUCCCUCCUCCUUGCAGGAGGGCAAACAAUGUUCUUUUGAUGCUUUCCUGCCAGUGGGGAUCUCGCCCUGGAGAAGGAGACAAAACUUUGCUACCUGUGAAACGAAGACUGCCUAGGUAGCAGUGGAAAUGAAAGCAAUUCCAUUUCCCACAAAUGAGUAACUUCAGUGGGAAUUGCUCAUGAAAAAGGAUCACCUGGAUUCUUCUGGAGCUGGGAGUCAGGGCCAGAAAUCUCCAGGAAAGACCUGCCCAAGGCACAAGAGGAAGAUCUCACCUCUCCAGAGGCUCCAUCACACCUGGAGCUUCAGGCAAGGAGCAUUUCCCCUGCUUGGAGCAGCACUGCCGAGUGCUGGUGGCAGAUUGAGGGAGAAGGAAUAAACCCCAACGUUUUAAAGCCACUCCAUGGAACACAGGGGUUUGCCAGAGCUGGUGAAUCUCUUUUGUGGAACACACAGAAAAUCUUCCAUUCCAAAUCUCAAAUCCUGCUGCUCCUUCCCACUCCCAGCAGGCUGAGCAGGAGCUGUUUGCAGGUGCUCCAUCCCAGCUCUGACUUCUGCUGGAUAUUUCCAUAUUUCUGAUCUCCUUCUGGCAGCUGGAUGAGAAGGGAAUGCCAUGGCCAAGGAGGGAUUGCCAAGGUUCAAGUGGAAUUCCAAGGGAACACGAGUUCUGUGUCACCUCUACACCAGACCCGUGUUUGGAGGAAACCAAGAGCAGAUCCUUUUUUAUUCCCACUCAUUUUCAGGGUGAGUGAAUCCUCUUGUCU